rnacentral:rRNA from 1 species
AUUGAACGCUGGCGGCAGGCCUAACACAUGCAAGUCGAGCGGAUGAGUGGAGCUUGCUCCAUGAUUCAGCGGCGGACGGGUGAGUAAUGCCUAGGAAUCUGCCUGGUAGUGGGGGACAACGUUUCGAAAGGAACGCUAAUACCGCAUACGUCCUACGGGAGAAAGUGGGGGAUCUUCGGACCUCACGCUAUCAGAUGAGCCUAGGUCGGAUUAGCUAGUUGGUGAGGUAAAGGCUCACCAAGGCGACGAUCCGUAACUGGUCUGAGAGGAUGAUCAGUCACACUGGAACUGAGACACGGUCCAGACUCCUACGGGAGGCAGCAGUGGGGAAUAUUGGACAAUGGGCGAAAGCCUGAUCCAGCCAUGCCGCGUGUGUGAAGAAGGUCUUCGGAUUGUAAAGCACUUUAAGUUGGGAGGAAGGGCAGUAAGUUAAUACCUUGCUGUUUUGACGUUACCGACAGAAUAAGCACCGGCAAACUUCGUGCCAGCCGCCGCCGUAAUAC